GACCCGGAUUGCGGUGUUUUGACCCUAGCGGCGCUCCGUCUGCGUAGCAGCUGCCAGUGCCAUCAUGGCGGCGGUGUGGCUGCGGCAGGAGCUCUCAAUGUCAACGGCUUUGGCGAAGCACCUGGCGAGGGGGGCAGGAGGCGGGGCGCCAGCAACCGUUGGGGCCCGCUUGACUCCAGCCAGGUCACUGAACACUUCCACAUGGCUGCUGGCACAGGACCAAGCCCAAGACACGCAACUCAUCACAGUUGAUGAAAAAUUGGAUCUUACACCUUUAACUGGUGUUCCAGAGGAGCAUAUUAAAACCAGGAAAGCUCAUAUCUUUGUUCCUGCACGUAAUGCCAUGCAAGCUGGGGUUAACAACACCAAAAAAUGGAAGUUGGAAUUUGACACAAGGGAGCGCUGGGAAAACCCCUUAAUGGGCUGGGCAUCUUCGGCGGAUCCUCUGUCUAAUCUGUUUCUAACCUUUUCUACAAAAGAAGCAGCAAUUGCAUUUGCUGAAAAAAAUGUCUUGUUUUAGAUGUAUGAGAAUAGAAGGAAAGAAGCCUCAUUGCCCUCUGAUCCUGGAUAGCCCUCAGAAUUUGCUCACAACCAGAGUACUCUUGUUGCACUACCAUUGAGAAGCUGAGUAUUCCCUUAUCUUCUCCAUCGAUUAGCAAUGAAAUUUCCUCUUCUGUGGCCAGCACCUCUCCACUCCUGUAGCCGCAACAUGAUGCAUGUAAAUGGAAGGCUGGAGCUAUGAUGUUCAAGAGCAGAGGAUUCCAAAACCUAAAUCCAAGUCUUACGGCGCGAACUUUUCUUGGAACAAAAGAACAAGGGUGUCCACAAAAUAGGUUGGCAUUGGCUGUCUCUGUGUCUGACUGUGAAUAAAGUCAGCUGUGCUGUAUUUAUAGUCCAUGUAUAAUACAUCUCUUAAUCUCCUAAUAAAUUUGACCUUUAAACUA